rnacentral:rRNA from 1 species
UACGAAGGGGCUAGCGUUGCUCGGAAUUACUGGGCGUAAAGCGCACGUAGGCGGCUCUUUAAGUCGGGGGUGAAAUCCUGGAGCUCAACUCCAGAACUGCCUUCGAUACUGAAGAGCUCGAGUCCGGGAGAGGUGAGUGGAACUGCGAGUGUAGAGGUGAAAUUCGUAGAUAAUUCGCAAGAACACCAGUGGCGAAGGCGGCUCACUGGCCCGGUACUGACGCUGAGGUGCGAAAGCGUGGGGAGCAAACAGG